rnacentral:rRNA from 1 species
UACGAGGGUCCUAGCGUUGUUCGGAAUCAUUGGGCGUAAAGCGUCUGUAGGCGGCUUUGUAAGUCAGGUGUGAAAGCCCCGGGCUCAACCGGCGAAGUGCAUUUGAUACUGCAUAGCUUGAAUGUUGGAGAGGAUAGUAGAAUUCUGGUGUAGCGGUGGAAUGCGCAGAUAUCAGGAGGACACCGAUGGCGAAGGCAGGUCACUGGCCGCAACUGACGCUGAGGAGCGAAAGCAUGGGAGCGAACAG